CCCGCCAAGGCCUGUAAAUGCCCUUACACCUCCCCGGGGCGGUCAAAAUAAGUAGAUCAGCCUUCUGGCCGGACAGCUGUCUGUGCGCACCACUCCCAGAUCCCCUAGGGGCGGAUGUCCAGAGAUUUCCCAGGGGGCACCUUUCUGUAAAGUCCCACCUGAGAGGCACCACAACGUCACUGCCAUUCUUGUUUCCGGGCGCCUGGGACAAGGAAGUGAUGAGUGAUAAAGCAGAGGAGUCUGCCAUUGGGCCUGAAGACCAAAUGAAAUGUCAUGGAGAACCUAUGAGUCCUCCUCCAUCUAAGAGACAGCCGAGCACGGCACUGUCAGUGGAACAGGAAGUUGAACAGGAAGGAGAGGGAGCAUCCCACCCUGGGGACUCAGCUAUGUCCUCGGAAGAUGAUGAGCCCGUGGUCAAAGCAAUGUCUGUGUUGGGAGAUGUGCCAGAUCAACUGCCAAUACCAGUGGAAAUUAGUGCUGAAAUGAAACUUCAAUUAAAGGAGGAAAUUCGACGAUUUGGACAAAAAUAUGAAAGGGUCUUCAAAUUGCUUGAAGGAAUGGAAGGAUCUGUAGAACUGCGGGACAAAUUUUGUUUUAUUGUCCGUCAAGGAAACAGCAAGAUUGAUAUUAUCUAAGUCUCCCUCACUCUUCCAAGUUCAAGAAGACUUGUGUUCACACUGGAUUUUGAGAUUUAAAAGACAAAACUUAAUAAGGCACCUGCAGAAGGUACCAGAAAAAUUAGAACUUGAC